CCUACGGGAGGCAGCAGUGGGGAAUAUUGGACAAUGGGCGAAAGCCUGAUCCAGCAAUGCCGCGUGAGUGAUGAAGGCCUUCGGGUCGUAAAGCUCUUUUACCAGGGAUGAUAAUGACAGUACCUGGAGAAUAAGCUCCGGCUAACUCCGUGCCAGCAGCCGCGGUAAUACGGAGGGAGCUAGCGUUGUUCGGAAUUACUGGGCGUAAAGAGUACGUAGGCGGUUAUUCAAGUCAGAGGUGAAAGCCCGGGGCUCAACCCCGGAACUGCCUUUGAAACUAGAUAACUAGAGUCUUGGAGAGGUUAGUGGAAUUCCGAGUGUAGAGGUGAAAUUCGUAGAUAUUCGGAAGAACACCAGUGGCGAAGGCGACUAACUGGACAAGUACUGACGCUGAGGUACGAAAGCGUGGGGAGCAAACAGGAUUAGAUACCCUGGUAGUCCACGCCGUAAACGAUGAUAACUAGUUGUUCGGUCACUUGGUGACUGAGUGACGCAGCUACGCAUUAAGUUAUCCGUCCGUCGGGGUAGGUACGGUCGUCGAAGAAGUUAAAACUAACAAAGGAAAGUUAGACGGCGUGUAGACGUUGCCGAACGGACGACGACGAGGGGAGGUUAGG
rnacentral:rRNA from 1 species